rnacentral:rRNA from 1 species
UAGUUGGUGAGGUAACGGCCCACCAAGGCGACGAUCGGUAGCCGGACUGAGAGGUUGAACGGCCACAUUGGGACUGAGACACGGCCCAGACUCCUACGGGAGGCAGCAGUGGGGAAUAUUGCACAAUGGGGGAAACCCUGAUGCAGCGACGCCGCGUGAAGGAAGAAGUAUCUCGGUAUGUAAACUUCUAUCAGCAGGGAAGAAGAAUGACGGUACCUGACUAAGAAGCUCCGGCUAAAUAC